rnacentral:rRNA from 1 species
GUGGGGAAUAUUGCACAAUGGGCGAAAGCCUGAUGCAGCAACGCCGCGUGAGUGAUGAAGGUCUUCGGAUUGUAAAGCUCUGUCUUCUGGGACGACAAUGACGGUACCAGAGGAGGAAGCCACGGCUAACUACGUGCCAGCAGCCGCGGUAAUACGUAGGUGGCAAGCGUUGUCCGGAUUUACUGGGCGUAAAGGGUGCGCAGGCGGAUAUUUAAGUGGGAUGUGAAAUCCCCGGGCUUAACCUGGGGGCUGCAUUCCAAACUGGAUAUCUAGAGUGCAGGAGAGGAGAAUGGAAUUCCUAGUGUAGCGGUGAAAUGCGUAGAGAUUAGGAAGAACACCAGUGGCGAAGGCGAUUCUCUGGACUGUAACUGACGCUGAGGCACGAAAGCGUGGGUAGCAAACAGGAUUAGAAACCCCAGUAGUCC